AACGAACGCUGGCGGCAGGCUUAACACAUGCAAGUCGAACGGCAGCACAGAAGAGCUUGCUCUUUGGGUGGCGAGUGGCGGACGGGUGAGUAAUGUCUGGGAAACUGCCCGAUGGAGGGGGAUAACUACUGGAAACGGUAGCUAAUACCGCAUAACGUCGCAAGACCAAAGGGGGGGACCUUCGGGCCUCACACCAUCGGAUGUGCCCAGAUGGGAUUAGCUAGUAGGUGGGGUAAUGGCUCACCUAGGCGACGAUCCCUAGCUGGUCUGAGAGGAUGACCAGCCACACUGGAACUGAGACACGGUCCAGACUCCUACGGGAGGCAGCAGUGGGGAAUAUUGCACAAUGGGCGCAAGCCUGAUGCAGCCAUGCCGCGUGUAUGAAGAAGGCCUUCGGGUUGUAAAGUACUUUCAGCGGGGAGGAAGGCGGUGAGGUUAAUAACCUUGCCGAUUGACGUUACCCGCAGAAGAAGCACCGGCUAACUCCGUGCCAGCCGCCGCCGUAA
rnacentral:rRNA from 1 species